CUGGGCAAUUGAAUCUGGGUCCUUUGGUUUUGCAGGCAAGUGCCUUAACCGCUAAGCCAUCUCCCUAGCACAUAAAAGCACAAUUUUAAAAUUAAUUUCAACUGUGAGUUUAGGAUGUAUCCAAGACACUCUUCUUUCCCUUACAUGCUUUUGAAGAUAUUUCUCUUACUCAUGAA
rnacentral:sRNA from 1 species